UGAUUGUCCCUUGCCCCUUGGAUGGUUUGCCGAGCAGAGCAACUAAUCUUUGUAUUUUUAAGAAAGUCUAUUUGAUGAUGCACUGCCUGCAGCUAGAAAUGGUUUGAACAACCAUCAACGACCAAACACUGAUGUUGGGGAAUUCGGUGAAAUAUUAUUUUGACGAAUGAAGAAUACUUCUCUGGAGCGGGGCAUAUCAACUUACGAAGCUGAAAACAACGCCUGCGGAAUUUAACGAUACAUUUAAUGAUCCUGAUAUUGUGUAAAUGUAGCUUUCCAAUUGGGAAAUUAAUAAUUAAGGUAUAAUAUUACAUAAACAUCAUACCUGUGGCAUCUUUUGUCUGUGUUAAUACUCCUUUAAUGCUACUCAGUUUUUGAUUCAGUUCACUCAUUCCAUCUUUCAUUUCACUUAUUCCAUCUUUCAUUCCACUCAUUCCUUCUUUCAUUCCACUCAUUCCAUCUUUCAUUCCACUUACUCCAUCUUUCAUUCCACUCAUUUAAUCUUUAAUUUCACUCAUUCCAUCUCUCAUUCCACUCAUUCCAUCUUUCAUUCCACUCAUUCCAUCUUUCAUUUCACUCAUUCCAUCUUUCAUUCCACUCAUUCCAUCUUUCAUUUUACUAACUCCAUCUUUCAUUUCACUUAUUCCAUCUUUCAUUCCACUCAUUCCAUCUUUCAUUUUACUAACGCCAUCUUUCAUUUCACUUACUCCAUCUUCAUUCAUUUCAUAUUUCACUUCACUCAUUUCAUGUUUAACCUCAUUUUCGAGAAACAGGUGGAAAUCAUUCCUCAGACGAUUGAUUCGCUGAUUAAGUUUUUCUACUUCCUUUGUAGGAAAAUCCGAUUCUUUCAAAUUGCCAAUUUUCUCCAGAGAUGUCGUGCUAAAAUUCAAAGCAGUGAACGCAUCUGUGGCGUGCUUGACAUAGUCAUCGAAGGUGACUUUAUUAAUUUGAGGGCUGGAUGUAUGACAAAGUGUGUUUCGUAAAAGACGAAGCUGGUCAAUGGCAAGUGCAAUCGUCUCAUUUGUAUCUCCACUCGAGCUUCUCACGGCAGAGUGGAAUGGAGCAGGGACUGGCUUUCGUCCGUUUAAAUACAUUUCUCCAAGCGUCUUUUUCUUUCCUGUGCUGUCUGGUAGAGCAAAUGUUCUUGCAUACAGAGUGGCUUGAAAUAGUGCAGUGCAGUCCCACUUUUUAAAUGAGUCGUUCGUGGGGAUUUUUGUGUUUGGAGCCUCAUUCUUGUGGAGUAUAUUGCGUACAAGAGGCGAGUCAUCCCAAACAGUGGAACUUGGUGCAACUCUGGUGUCCCACAUGUCUACAAAGAUGCUACGCAAAGCAUCUGGGAAUUCCUUUAGGACGAAUGACGCAAACUUGAAGUAGUUAAGCUCUUCAUCAGAAUACGGCUGGAUAGACAUGUUGGCUGAGUUUC